GCUAGCGUUGUUCGGAAUUACUGGGCGUAAAGCGUACGCAGGCGGCUUUGCAAGACAGGUGUGAAAUCCCCGGGCCUAACCUGGGAACUGCAUUUGUGACUGCAUGGCUAGAGUUUGUCAGAGGGGGGUGGAAUUCCACGUGUAGCAGUGAAAUGCGUAGAUAUGUGGAGGAACACCGAUGGCGAAGGCAGCCCCCUGGGAUGUGACUGAGGCUCAUGUACGAAAGCGUGGGGAGCAAGCAGG
rnacentral:rRNA from 1 species